AUACGUUCUUCCGGAGACCAGAGAAAAUGUUUGUUCCCACAUUUCCAAAAGCACUUAGGGAGGGACGAUGCAGUCUGCCAGAAGCGGUUCUGCCUUUGGGACUGAGUCCCCUUCUGGGACAUUUUUAGAACUUCCGUCCGCCAUGCGUGAGGGCGGGUGGUGAAGUUCUGGUGGCCGGGUCUGAGGAGCUCACGUGACUCACUGCUGUGCCUUCUGUGGGUCUCCAGCUGCGCCCUUGACUUGCAUCAUUAGCUGUCCUCAUCCAAGAGGUCUGAAGAUUCAUCAGACUGUUUAUCUGAAAAGUGAUUUCAUCAACCCAUGUUGGAAGCUUAUCAGACACUGCUGGUAUGGGGCAAAAACUGGGGAGAUGAAACCAUGAGUCGAUUCAGACAAAAAGUCAGUCAUGGACUGGGACCUGGUAUCACACACUGGGGCUGAGCCAAGCUGGAGUCAGGCAGGAAGCCAAGGACUGGAGCACCAAAAUCAGACAAUUACCAAGAGGGGCCAAGUCAAGAACUUACUGGAAGAGCCAAGUCAGAGAUCAGGAAACUUGAAGAAGAAAAUAUGUUUGGAACCUAUAUCCUGUCUAGGUCUCAAGACUUCAACACAUAUAGAAGCUUGAGGCCACACUGGGUUUUUGGCAACUAGGUUUAUCUUAAACUUAAAAAAUGUUUUUAAAUCAUGUUCUAACUAAUUUCUCCACCAGGUAACUUGAUAUAAACAUACAAAUGGUUUCUUUAGCAGCUUCUUUUAAAGUAUACAUUUUCUUAAAGUAUAACACACAUUCAAGUGUUCAGCUUAGUGAAAUUUUACAAGUGAACAUACCAGAUAAUCAGCAUGUAAAUCAAUACAUAAAACAUUAUCAGUACCUUUAUGCCCCUUACCAGGUACUGCUCUUCCAAGGAUAGCCACUAUGCUCAUAUAUAACACAUAGAUUACUUUUUUCCUGCUUUUUAUUUAUACUAGUGAAAUAAUACAGUUUAUACUGGCUUCUUUUGUUCAACAUUAUAUUUGUGAAAAUUAUAUAUGUUACAUGUAGCAUUGUUGUUCUGCUGUUGUAUGAAAAUUCCACAAUUUAGGCAUUCAUUCUAUUCUUGAUGGACAUUUGAGAUAGUUUUGGUUUGGUGCUGGCACAAAAAAUUCUGCCAUGCACAUUUUUUUACGUGUUUUAUUGUGACUAUAUGUAUGCCUUUCUUCUGGACAUACGCUCGCAAAGGAAAUUGCCAAGUCAUAGAGAAUGUUCAUGGUCAGCUUUCCUAGAUACAGUCAAAUAGUAUUCCAAAGUAUUUAUAUCAACCCAUACUCCCACCAAGAAUUUAGGAGAGUUCUGGUUGAUCCACAAAAUCACCAACAUUUGGGAUUGCUUAUUUAUUUUAGCUAUUCUUGUCAUUGUGAAAUGAUAUUGGUUUCAAUCAGCAUUUGAACUUUUUUCCUAUGUUGGCUGGUCAUUUGAAUAUCUUCUUUUGUAAAGUGUCUUUUCAUUUCUUUUGCCUACUUUAUAUAUUAUGUUAUCUGAUUUGUUUUCUAUUCACUUUUGGGAGUUUUAAAAUAUAUAUUCUGUAUAUGAAAUUUUUGGUGAUAUCUGUAUUGCAAUAUCUUUGUUCAUUCUGUGGCUCGUCUUAUCACUGCCUUAAAAAUAUGAUUUGAUGGACUCUCAUUCUUAAUUACAGUGGCAUCCAAUGUAUCUUUUUUUCUUUAUGGUUAGUGCUUCUAGAUUGCAUCAAGGUUAUAAAGACAUUCUUACUAAGUUUUAACCUAGGAACUUCAUUGCUUUACCUAUCGUAUUUCAGUCUACCAUCUGUCCAUCUGAAAUUAAUUUCUAUUUCCAGUGAAAACAAAAAUUAGGAAUGAAACUUUAUUUUGUUCAAUAGGUAUAUACACUUGACUCAACAUCGUUUAUUAAAAUCAUCCUUUCCGUUACCCCACUGCACUCCAACAAUCAAGUGACCUUGAAUAUGUAGGUCUGUUUCUGGACCCUCUAUCUGUUUCAUUGGUCUGUGUGUCUAUUCUUGCACAAGUACCACACUGAAACUGCUUAAUUACAACAUUUCUUAACAUCUAGUAGUGUAUAAGCUAGUAAGGUUUGUUUUUCCUCUGUAAUAUUGUCUUAGAUUUUUGCAUUUCUUACAUUUUGCAUUUCUGAUAUAAAUUAUAGAGACAUCUUGUUAAUUUCUACAUGUACACACUUACACACACAUACACAUACACACAAACUUGUUUGAAAUUUGAUUGAAUUUUCAUUAAAUUUGUAGACAUUUUUACCAUGUCGAGUCUCUUUAUUCAUUAGCAUGGCUUUAGUACUUAUUUAUUAGGCUUUCAGCUUUUUCUCAAACUUACUUAUAUUUCUCAACCUUACUUGUAUUUCUCAAAAGAACACAUUGAUUCUUUUGUAUCUCACAAGUGUGACUGGGUUUUUAGGCUCAUGUGUGAGAUGUGCUUCCCUCAAAAAUUGUUGUGACUGUGGCAUGUUACCUAUGUGAUGUGAAAAUAAAAAGGCCACACCAUCUUCCCUAGGAAAUUUAAAGGAACAUCACUACUAUUUUUAAGUUUUUCACUAUUUUGUUAAUAUAUCCUUUUUCUGAUUGCAUAAAGAAUAAUUAUUUAAAGUAUAAAACUUUAAACUACUAAAAAAGAAGAGAGGAAGUCAAUAAAAUUUCAUUCACAAUCUC